rnacentral:lncRNA from 1 species
CGCCCUGUCUGCUCCCCAGCAGAUGGUCCGAGGGAAGAAGAUGGAGAGGAAAAAAAAAAGAAGAUAAAUGACUGCGUGCAAGAGUUUCAAAAUAGCGAUCCUGGUGCGGGCCUCUCAAGGACAGAGCAGUAAUGAGGGUGGACUGGAUUUAACCUUGAAGAGUACAGGAGACGGAGAAGCGUUUCGACCCUUUCCCCAUCGUCCACCCUUUGCACCUCUCUCCUCUUGACCAGGUGUGUCUGCUCAGCUGCCGCACGCACAACUGCAUGUUGGAAAGUUUAUCAUUACCUAAUUGCUGCUGUCGACUCCAAUUGGGAUUUUAGGUGAAUGUUGCCAGCUGCUGCUCCCUGCUGCCAAAAUGCCUCGUCCUUCCUGACUUCAUGUUUGAUUCUGCUUCGGAUUUGCUGCCCGUGGAAAGUGAAGCUUGUUCAGUGGACACAGCACACAAGUCCAACAUCCUGUGAAGCUGUGAAGAUGGAUGUCUCGCCGAGGAGGAAAGGACCGUGCAGUGUUCCUAUAGCGCUGCAUUGCCGCAAGCUCAUUACAACCCUCCCCUCUAAAAUCAUUCCUGCCUUUCGCCUGCCCCACUCUCACCAUUCACCCGAGCCUAAAUCUGCCCCCGCCCCAGCCUCAGCCUGA